UACGUGGGGUGCGAGCGUUAAUCGGAAUUACUGGGCGUAAAGCGUGCGCAGGCGGUUAUGUAAGACAGAUGUGAAAUCCCCGGGCUCAACCUGGGAACUGCAUUAGUGACUGCAUAGCUGGAGUACGGCAGAGGGGGAUGGAAUUCCGCGUGUAGCAGUGAAAUGCGUAGAUAUGCGGAGGAACACCGAUGGCGAAGGCAAUCCCCUGGGCCUGUACUGACGCUCAUGCACGAAAGCGUGGGGAGCAAACAGGAUUAGAUACCCUGGUAGUC
rnacentral:rRNA from 1 species